GCCAGCAUAUUUUUCCAUUAUAGAAAGUUUUGAUUGGAGGAGCUUCAUUUCCUCCAUUGCCAAAGACAAUCUUUUUUCCGUUCCUGCAGAAUCUUCAGAUCCCUUGUUUUCGAGAUUAUCCUCCUCAGUAUCUUUGUUCAAUUCUCGGUCUUUGAAAUCAUCUGUUAAUGGAGGCCACAGCACAACAGUGGGAGCAACAAAAUCAAUCGUCUUCCCAGUUCCAAGGACCCCAC
rnacentral:misc_RNA from 1 species